rnacentral:lncRNA from 1 species
AUCACAACACAACUCUAGAUACAAAUAAAAUAAUAGAAGCUUUAUAUUACAAGCCAGGGGCCUCGAGGGCUCGAAUACAUAGCUCGAUACACAAGAGUCAGCGGAAGCAACAAUAUCUGAGUACAGACAUAAGUUAAACAAGGAUGCCUUAAGAAGUCUAGCACAAAAGCAACAACGAUCGAAGAGGCAAGGCCUCCUGCCUGGGACCUCCUAACUACUCCUGGUCGUCGGCGGGCUCCACAUAGUAGAAGGCACCCUCUGGGUAGUAGUAGUAGUCUGCGGGGGUGGCAUCAUCUGGCUCCUGGGCUCCACCAUCUGGUUGCAACAACCAGAAAGAAGGAAGAAGGGGGAAAAGGGGAGCAAAGCAACCGUGAGUACUCAUCCAAAGUACUCGCAAGCAUCAGAUCUAUACUAAGUAUGCAUUGGUAUCAAAUGGAAGGGUUGUAUCUGUGGACUGAACUGCAGAAUGCAAGAAUAGAGGGGGAAGGCCUAGCCUAUCGAAGACUAGCAUCUUCACGCAGCUCCGAGCGUCUUGCAGCAUGUAGAAGAGUAAAGAAUAGCAGUUUAUAUUUAACAAGCAUGUUGUAACAUUAAUGCCCAGAGAUCCUUCCUCGACUCCCCGCGAGAAAGCAAUCCCGGAGCCACAUAUCUCAAGUAUCCAUUUGUAGUUAUAUAAGAUCAGGAUAUAAGUCUAAACGUCCGUUACCGUGGACACGGCUAUUAAUAGAUAAUCUUCCCUGCAGGGGUGCACCACGUUUUCCAACAUGCUCGAUCACUCUGGCCGGACACACCUUUCUGGGGUCAAUGCCCGGCCUCGGAAGAUCAACACGUCGCAGCCCUACGUGGGCUCAGCAGAGAGGUCCCUGCCGGUCUACCUCCUAAGCACUCCGGGGUCUGGGCCCAUCGCCCUUUGCACUCCGGGUCGUUGCGAACAGGGUGGACCAGGCUCCACCACUACAGGAUGGUGUCGGGCCAGCCGUGCCGCACUGGUGAACUGGACGUCUGACAAAGCUUCGGCUGAUAAUGUGACGUCGAGGCCCAUAACUAUUCUCACGUGGUGGUUGGUGCAUAAAGGCCAGAGGCCAACUCAGAACAAAUACCCAAACCAUAGUGUAUUAUUAGCUUGCGGAGACGAGCAGAGACUCACGAUCAAAAGUGACCCCGUCGCCCCGUCUCAUGGACUUACAACAAGUGCCUAGAAUGCCCGGCCGUGCCACGUGAUGAUCUUGCGGGUGCUCUCCGGGCCCGCCCGACUUUCACCAAGGUCUCAAGUAAAGUCAAGGUAACCGUGUGUCCAAACAUCAAGGGGAAUACCCGAGGAAUCACCCCUGGUGGAUUCCACUCAAUGUAAUCAUCAAGGUGAACGUAAGAGGGACCACCCUCGAGGUUCACACUUGAGGUGUUGAACGACAGGGCCAUAUCGGGAAUGGUGAAAGAGGAAAUCACCCUCAAUGACCACGACCGAAUAGCUACACUACAUAAUUAUCAUCAGGAGUGCGUUAUGAGGGAUCACCCUCGGCACUCGAUAGUAGCUUUGCAGAGUCGAGCAACUAAAGGGGCGUGAUGUGAUGUGAGGUGUCGGGCUCUGGUCGUCGAUCACGUCGAUAGAGGCGUCGAUGAUGAAGCAGGGGCAACAAGGACAAGUGGGGGUCACUGAUGGAUCACUAGCCAACCUAUACUAAGCAGUUUAGGAUAAGCAAGUAGGUAACAAUAAGCAGGUACAAAAGCAGGCUAUGCAUCAGAAUAGGAGCAAACAAUAACAAUAGCAAAAUCUAAUGCAAGCAUGAGAGUAUAGAAUGGGCGAUAUCAGGAUGAUCAAAGGGGGGGCAUGCCUGGUUGCUCAGACAAGGAGGGUCGUCGUCGAUGUAGUCAAUCACAGGGGCAUUAGUAGCGGUCUCGAGGUCUACCGAAGAAGAAGAGGGGGAAGAAAUAGUAAAUACACGCAAACAUAAGUAUAACAAGACAAUAAGCGGGGCUAAAGGUGUUCUAACGCGGUGCUAGGCGAUACUGGCGAAGGGGGAAACAUCCGGGAAAGUUGUCCCGGUUCCGGACGUCUGUUAGACAAAUGAACCGGAGGGGAAAAGUUGCAUGUUUGCUAUGCUAGGGGCAUGUGACAGAUGAACGGACCGCGUAUUCGGAUUCGUCUCGUCGUUCUGAGCAACUUUCAUGUAUAAAACUUUUUCAUCGGAGUUACGGUUUAUUUUAUAUGAUUUUUCAAAGUUUUAACAAUGUUCUGAAAUUUCUUUAAUUACAUUAAUUCGAAAAAACAGACAAAUUGCUAUGGGUACACAGGAGUGUACCCAGCAAUGUGUGCAUGUGUGUGACAUGUGGGGCCAGGGGCUGGAUUGACCCAGUCAUAUUUUGACUAGUCAAAAGUGAACAGUGCACAUGGGUCCCAUGUGUCAUUGACUUAGGCACCCUUUUUUAUUUCAAGUUACAGGAGGGGCCACAUGUCAUGACUACUUAUCUAAUAAUCAAAUAAAUAAAGCAAUCCUAAUUAGAGAUGGGGGGCACACGUCUUAGGGUUGCAACUGAUUUAAGUAGUACUAGUACUGAUUAGCCUAACUAGUAACAAAAUUAGCCCCUAACUAAAACUUGGGCCGGCCAUAUGCAGUGGCACAAGCCGGCCAUGGUUUGGCUGUGCACCACGCACAAGCACACAGGCGCAUGGCCAUGGCCGUGGCUACCGGUAGCAGCAAACUCCAGCAGGGGGCAUCAGUGGAGGCAGCAGCAGGUGCAUCAAGCAGCAGCCGUACGGCAGCAAACAGCCGCAGUAGCAAGUAGCAGCGGCAAGGGCAGCAGCUAGGAGCAGCAACGUCGGCACGCAGGGAGCAGCAGCAAGCAAUGAGCGGCGCGAGGAGCAGCAUCAAGCAUCACUAACAGGCAGUGGUACUAGGACGCACGCAGCAGCGAGCAAGGCAAGAGCAGAGACAUAGAGCAGCGACAACAAGCACGCAUGUACGCGUACGCGGGACCUCGGGCACGGCGGCUACAACGAUGGAUUCGAAGGGAAAACAGAGGGGAUCGAACGAGGUGCUCACAGCGAGCACAUAGGCGAGGUCGGGGAGGCCGGAGGCGGAGUGGAGUCGAGGCGACGCCGGCGGACGCCGGCGAUGUACGCGGUGGGGACGGGCUCGAUGGCGAGCGUACGGGGCGGCCCCGCUCGAGUUGAUGCUCGGGACGGACGAAGACGGCCCCACUGGACCUCCUGGACGUCCUUCCGUGCGUAGGUGAUGACAGUGGCCGCGACGGCGGCGAUGACGCGUUGACGGCAGCUCGUGCACGAGGAACAGAGGAGAAGCGGAAGAGGAGGAGGGGAAAUUUUGGGGGCUAGGGUUCCAGAUUGG